rnacentral:rRNA from 1 species
ACGGGUGAGUAACACGUGGAUAACCUACCUAUAAGACUGGGAUAACUUCGGGAAACCGGAGCUAAUACCGGAUAAUAUUUUGAACCGCAUGGUUCAAAAGUGAAAGACGGGCUUGCUGUCACUUAUAGAUGGAUCCGCGCUGCAUUAGCUAGUUGGUAAGGUAACGGCUUACCAAGGCAACGAUGCAUAGCCGGCCUGAGAGGGUGAUCGGCCACACUGGAACUGAGACACGGUCCAGACUCCUACGGGAGGCAGCAGUAGGGAAUCUUCCGCAAUGGGCGAAAGCCUGACGGAGCAACGCCGCGUGAGUGAUGAAGGUCUUCGGAUCGUAAAACUCUGUUAUUAGGGAAGAACAUAUGUGUAAGUAACUGUGCACAUCUUGACGGUACCUAAUCAGAAAGCCACGGCUAACUACGUGCCAGCAGCCGCGGUAAUACGUAGGUGGCAAGCGUUAUCCGGAAUUAUUGGGCGUAAAGCGCGCGUAGGCGGUUUUUUAAGUCUGAUGUGAAAGCCCACGGCUCAACCGUGGAGGGUCAUUGGAAACUGGAAAACUUGAGUGCAGAAGAGGAAAGUGGAAUUC